rnacentral:pre_miRNA from 1 species
GGAAUGUUCUGGGAGCUGUAGCCUUUCAAACAGAAACAGAGCUACUGCAUACCCGUAUUGAAAUACUACAUACAGUUCCCUGAACUUCC